rnacentral:rRNA from 1 species
GACAGAGGGUGCAAACGUUGUUCGGAAUUACUGGGCGUAAAGCGCGUGUAGGCUGCUUCGCAAGUCGGAUGUGAAAGCCCUGGGCUCAACCCAGGAAGUGCAUUCGAAACUGCAGAGCUGGAGUCCUGGAGAGGAAGGCGGAAUUCUCGGUGUAGAGGUGAAAUUCGUAGAUAUCUGAAGGAACAUCAGUGGCGAAAGCGACUUCCUGGACCAAUACUGACGCUCAUGUGCGAAAGCGUGGGGAGCAAACAGG